AAAAAAUUGUUUCCAAAAAACUAAACUACUACGACGUUUGCUAGGCAACUUACAUGAACAAGAAGUUCACAGAUACACAAAAGUAAAUGUAGUAAGAACUUGACUCCUUCCUGCAGCGUGAUUGGCGCCAUAUGUGGCUACAUGGAGCUGUGGAGCACGCGCCGCUGUGUGCAGUGGGCGGGGCUUCGGGACGCACAACUGAUUUGGAGCUCUGUAACCAGUCUUCGAGGAUGCAGCGCAGGAUGAAGGAGCUGGAAAGAGACGGAGGAGGAGGAAAGGCUGGAAGUACGAAAGAGAGGGACCAGAGCUGGAUUCCCAAGAUCAUCAAGAAGAGACUGUGCACAACUUUUGUUGAAGACUCUUUCAGUAAUGGAGCAUUGUGUCAGUGUGGUGGUGUGCGGGAGGUCCAUGACUCCGUGGCAACAGGGGACUAUUUCGGAGCAGCUAUCGUCACCCAGUGGGACAGCCGACAGCACUCCUCAGAGUGUCCCACUGACGCCUUCGGAGAGCUGGAGUUUGCUGGCGCUGGACGCAGACACAGUCAUUUUCUGCGGCUGUCAUGUGACACGCCUCCCCAGAUCAUCUACACCCUGAUGACGGCUCACUGGGGUCUGCCCUCACCCAACCUAGUGGUGUCAGUGGUGGGGGGAGAGGGCCAUGGGAAGAUCAAGACGUGGGUGAGAGAUGUCCUGAGAAACGGGCUAGUCAGGGCCGCACAGAGCACAGGGGCCUGGAUCUUGACGGGGGGUCUGAGGGAGGGUGUGUCCUGCUGUGUGGGUGAGGCCGUGAGGGACCACGCUGCUGCAGCUCCAGCUCUCUCCCGGAAGAAAGUGAUUGCUGUGGGACUGGCUCCCUGGGGCCUGGUGCACAACAGGCAGCAGCUCGUCAACGCCCAGGGCAGUUUUCCUGCUCGCUACUAUGUCCAGAACACGUCACGUGACUCCUUCUGCCUGGACAAUAACUGCCAGGCUUUCCUCCUGGUGGAUGAUGGGAGUCUUGGUCGCCGGGGUGGAGAGGCUGCCUUUCGUGCUAAUCUGGAGGACUACAUUUCCCAUCAGCGCACUGGCAUCUGGGGAAGUGGCAGUAUUGAGAUCCCAGUCCUGUGCAUGCUCAUCUCAGGAGACGCCAACAUGCUGGAGAGACUAGAUGCCUCUCUGAAGAAAGCUACACCCUGGCUGGUUCUGGCUGGUUCUGGACCAGCUGCAGACCUUAUCAGUGAGCUGCUGGGCAACCUUUCCUCUGUCCCCCUCAGUCCCACCUCUCCCCCUGCUGAGGGGGAGGCCGCUCAGGGCCCCAGCGCAGAGCUUCGCGACAGGGUUCGUGACAAGGUCCGGAAACACUUCCCAUCUGAAGCAGAGCUGGAGAGACUGGUGGACAGUGCUCUGAGCAUCCAUCAGAACAGAGAGCUCAUCACUGUGUUCCACGGAGAACAGGAGGCUUCUGAUGAGUUUGAUACAGUUCUCCUCAAAGCCCUUGUUAGAGCUAGUAAACGUGUGUGCAGUGCAGCCAGUGAGUGCACAGAGGAGUUGAAACUGGCUGUGGCCUGGAACAGAGUGGACAUCGCCAAAGCUGAGCUCUUCAAUGGAGACAUACAGUGGAAGUAUGAGGACCUGGAGGACUCCAUGACAGACGCACUGAUCAACGACAAGCCUCAGUUUGUGCGUCUGUUUUGUGAGAACGGUCUGAACAUCCUGGACUACCUGACGUACCGGCGUCUGGAGAGUCUGUACCGCUCUCUGUCAGACAGCUAUCUGGUCUACACGCUGCUGCAGAGGCGUCUGAGUGAGAGACAGGCCCUGGCUGGGUCCCUGCCCAGCCUGGACAGGUCCGUGACGUCCCCCCUGAAGAGUCCUCAGAGUGCUCUCACUGGACCGGCCUCUGCAAUGGAGCUGAGCCUGUAUGAGGUUUCCCGUCUGCUGUGGGACCUGCUGGGUGACGUCUGUCAGCCUUUCUACUACGGACCUCUGGGCCUGGACCCCACCUGCAGCUUCAGGAGGACUCUCAAGCAAGUCAAUAAGCUGCUGCUGGGAGAGUGUCUGUACCGGGACCAGCGCUGCCUCUCACCCUGGGCGGCCCUCUUCAUCUGGGCCGUCCUGCAGAACCGCAGGGAGAUGGCUAUUUACUUCUGGGAGAUGGCGGGGGAGUCAGUGUUGAGCGCUCUGGGGGGCUGUAAGGUGCUGAGGGAGCUCUCUAAGCUGGAGAGUGAGACUGAGAACAAGCUGGCCAUGAAGGAGCUGGCUCAGACGUUUGAGGACCUGGCACAUGACGUGUUUGGAGAGUGUUACCAGAACAGCGAGAGCCGCGCCUUCACUCUCCUUAUAAGGAAGUCUCCAGUGUGGGCCGGGGCUACGUGUCUGCAGAUGGCCACUGCAGCUGACGCCCGCCUGUUCUUCAGCCAUGAUGGUGUUCAGUCUCUGCUGUCUCAGAUCUGGUGGGGUGAUAUGGAGAGGAACACUGAGGUCUGGAAACUGGUUCUCACCUUCUUCCUGCCCCCCCUCCUCUACACAGACCUCAUCAGCUUCAGGGAACAAGAGGAGGAGGUGAAGUCCGUGGAGCUUUACCAGGGCAGAGACACCGACAGUCUGGAUGGGAAUGAUGCCACCGUCUUCUCUCUUGCUGACAUCAUACAAAAUGAGGAAGACGCUGAAGAGUUGCGGGCUCUAAAAGAAAAACUCAGAGGUAGUCACUCUCCUGUUCAAGACUCUAUGUCGUCCAACUCUAAGAGACCGUUCAUUGUGUCCCGGUGGAGACAGUUCUGGUUCGCCCCCGUCACCUCGUUCCUUGGUAACGUUCUGAUGUACUUCUUGUUCCUCUGCCUGUUUGCCUACGUUCUGCUGGUGGACUUCAAGCCCCAACCUGAUGGUCCCUCCACUCUGGAGUUUGUGCUUUACUUCUGGGUUUUCACCUUAGUCUGUGAGGAGAUUCGACAGACCUUCUUCGUGGGCAGCACCUUUGUGCUCCAGAGGAUGAGGAACUACAUCCAGGAUGUAUGGAACAAGUGUGACCUGACAGCCAUCAUUCUCUUCACUCUGGCAAUGUGCUGCAGGAUGUUUCCCUGGUCCUAUGAGUUUGGCCGAGCUGUCAUGGCCAUAGACUUCAUGGUCUUCACUCUACGUCUGAUUCACAUCUUUGCCAUACACAAACAGCUUGGACCCAAGAUCAUCAUUGUUGGCAAAAUGAUGAAGGACGUCUUCUUCUUCCUCUUCUUUCUGGCUGUGUGGUUAGUGGCCUACGGAGUGGCCAAUCAGGCUCUGCUCUACUCAUACGAUCCACGUCCCAACUGGAUCUUCCGCCGAGUCUUCUACAGACCAUACCUACACAUUUUUGGACAAAUACCUAUUAAUGAGAUGGACGCCGACAAACUUGGGGAAGUAAACUGUACAAACGACGCCUCACGAAUCGAGGCUGGAGAGGAGCCAUGUGUCAGUACCUACGCCAACUGGCUGGUGGUCAUCCUCCUCGUCAUCUACCUGCUGUUCACUAACAUUGUGCUGGUCAACCUGCUCAUUGCCAUGUUCAGCUACACCUUCUCCAAAGUUCAGGAGCGCAGUGACACCUACUGGAAGUUUCAACGCUACAAUCUGAUCGUGGAGUACCACUCAAGGCCCUGCCUGGCUCCACCAUUCAUCAUCAUCUCACACCUCCACCUUUUCAUCAAGAGAUACAUCCGCCGCAUCUCCUCAGUCAAGAGCAAACAUUUUGUUCUGGAGUUACGGGGCAGGAAGGCCAGCCGCCUCAACACAUGGGAGGCCAUACAGAAAGAAAACCACCUCUCAGCUCAGAAUAAACGUCAGAGGGAGACUGACACAGCUCGACUGAAACGUACAUCUAUCAAGGUGGACAGUGUGCUGAAACAGAUGUCAGAGAUCCGUGACCACGACCGACGGUUGCGGCUGUUGGAGACGGAGCUGGAGUACUGCUGCAGCGCCCUCGGCUGGAUGACAGACGCUCUGUCUCAGAGUCCUCUGGUAAAGGCAGAGCACCCCCCUCCACUGCUCAGAGAUGUGACUCCGCUGUCUCCAAGCUGAACUCAACUCCAGUAUCACACACACACAGUUUACUCAGGGCCAUUGUGUCAGACAUUGUUUGCUGUUCAUUUCAUUUUGAGGUGUAUUUUAUUUAGGACUAAUAAUAUAUUGUUUUAAAUGUUUUUACAGUAGUGUCAGAAGACACCGCUGCUGUGUUACAGUUCCUCCACCUGAAGUUUUUAGUUAGAAUUUAAGCUGUAACCAGAGAGUGCCAUGUUAAAAUCUCUGUUAAUGUGAUUAAAUUAGACAAUUAUUGUCAUUAAUGAAAUAAGAUGCUGCUACAUGAUCAGAGAGCUCAGCCUACAGUCAGUAAAGCUGUACUGAUCAAUACUUUUAUAUCAGCAAUGGAUCAAAUGCCUAUAAUGAGCAUGACUUACUUUCCCUUAGCUCUACUCACACCAAGAACACACUGUCUGUGUUGUGUGUCUGCUGUAUUGCUGCUGCUGCUCUAUCUCUCUACAUAGAGUUUUCCUUGGAUAAUGGCGCUUGGCAGGUUACUGGAAUGAUGGAUUUAUUUUUGACAGAGAAUGCCUCUAAAAUACCACUGUCUCCACAAUAAGCUACCAAAAUGGUUGAAAAAACAUAUAUUUUCAGGUCUGUAUCAUAUUUGGAUUCAGCCUAGGCAUAGAAACUAGUGGGAGGUGUCAAUUUCAUGCCAUGUUGCUAGUAUGAUGUCAAUAUGACAUCAAUAGGUCUUUUCUCUGUCGCUUUUUUCUGGGAGAUGCGUCUCACAUUAAAAUAAGUGAGCCGCUGAAUCUCUACAUCAUGUGACACAGUUGCAGGGCCGCGUGUCACGCAGGUAGUAUGUCCACCCUACACUGUUAACAUGCCAAAAUGAAAAUACACGUGCCACACAGCCAGUGUACAGUGGACUAUUAGGGCCACAUUGAGGAGGAAAAAAUCUAAAAUUUCAAGCAGCCUUAGCUUUUUAGCCUCUCAUAGCUCACUGUUGUGGUCUUGGUUUCUGCUCCACAACCUUUUUCAUCAGCCUCAUUUCCAGUGCCAGCUGUUUCAGAGACACAUCUGUAAACAGCCUCUGUCCUCUACCUGCUGAGCAUCAAAACAGCAGACAGACUCAGUCAGAGAGCAGCUGGUGAACAUAGUGAAGGAUUUAGUAGCUAAAGAGGAGCUGGUGACCAAACACAGAGCUGAAAGAGAGGGAACACUGGACUGAGAUUCACCAGGGUCUGACUCCGCCCCUAACUCCCAGCUAAUCCAAAAAUGGACAAAGAGGAGGGGCAUGUGUUGUUCAUGCUGGUUUGUUGCAAACAUACACUCACCCACCUGUCACUCAAAGAGGUCAUGCCUACAAUUCUAGAUAACUUUAACAGGUAUAUCAUAAACCAAAGUACUGGACACGUUAACAUGUUGACCUGAUGGUGGCGCUAGAAGAAAACUCAGAGGAUCAUCAGAGUUAUUACAACCAGAACGUGCAGCCCUUUACCUUCAUCCUUGUUGCGUUCGCUGUCUCAGCUAAUUCAGGAAUCAGGAACUAGCCAUCCUGAGAGUCAACCACAGAUGAUAGCACCUUUAGGCCUGUAUCAACUGGCAGCAUAGAGCUCCUGCCUCUGACUUACACCUUCUCCAACUGGUUAGAAAGGUGACACUAAGAUUUAUUUUGGAGCAUAUUUCAAAUAAGAGAUCUCAGAAUCAUACUGUAGCCUAAAGUUCUUAAAUAAACUGCACCUUCACAAAUGGAGGAUAUUCUUACCACUCACAUUUUGAUCUUUUUUCUUUUUGUUAAUAACCAUCCAUUACCUGCAUGUAACUGUUUUAACUGACCUCACUGUAUUUGUAUUGUUGUAUCUCCCAUGAUAAAUGUUUCAGUUGAUUUUUGUUGUUGAUUAUCUAUAUUUAUUUAUUUGUUCUUUUUAAUUUUUCAUAUGUUGUAAUCUUGGCAUUGUUCUAAAUGCAGGUCAC